GACCCCAUGGUCUAGUGGUUAGGACACAAGCCUUUCAAGCUUGAAGCGAGGGUUCAAUUCCCUCUGGGGUCA
rnacentral:tRNA from 1 species